rnacentral:tRNA from 1 species
CGGAGUGUAGCCCAGUCCGGUAGGGCACCUGAAUGGGGUUCAGGUGGUCGGGGGUUCAAAUCCCUCCACUCCGA